ACGAACGCUGGCGGCGUGCUUCACCCAUGCCAGUCGAACGGAAAGGCCCUGCUUUUGUGGGGUGCUCGAGUGGCGAACGGGUGAGUAGCACGUGAGUAACCUGCCCUUGACUUUGGGAUAACUUCAGGAAACUGGGGCUAAUACCGGAUAGGAGCUCCUGCUGCAUGGUGGGGGUUGGAAAGUUUCGGCGGUUGGGGAUGGACUCGCGGCUUAUCAGCUUGUUGGUGGGGGAGUGGCUUACCAAGGCUUUGACGGGUAGCCGGCCUGAGAGGGUGACCGGCCACAUUGGGACUGAGAUACGGCCCAGACUCCUACGGGAGGCAGCAGUGGGAAAUAUUGCACAAUGGGCGGAAGCCUGAUGCAGCAACGCCGCGUGCGGGAUGACGGCCUUCGGGUUGUAAACCGCUUUCGCCUGUGACGAAGCGUGAGUGACGGUAAUGGGUAAAGAAGCACCGGCUAACUACGUG
rnacentral:rRNA from 1 species